UACGUAGGUGGCAAGCGUUGUCCGGAUUUACUGGGCGUAAAGGGCGUGCAGGCGGUCUGUUAAGUGCAGGGUGAAAGCUCCCGGCUCAACUGGGAGAGGUCCUUGCAUACUGGCGGACUUGAGGGGGGUAGAGGAAAGUGGAAUUCCCGGUGUAGUGGUGAUAUGCGUAGAUAUCGGGAGGAACACCUGUGGCGAAGGCGGCUUUCUGGGCCCUACCUGACGCUGAGACGCGAAAGCGUGGGGAGCGAACCGG
rnacentral:rRNA from 1 species